GGGCACGACACCGGAGAGGGAGCCUGAGAAACGGCUACCACAUCCAAGGAUGGCAGCAGGCGCGCAAAUUACCCAAUCCCGACACGGGGAGGUAGUGACAAUAAAUAACAAUACGGGGUUCUUUAGGAUCUCGUAAUUGAAAUGAGUACAAUUUAAAUCUCUUAACGAGGAACAAUUGGAGGGCAAGUCUGGUGCCAGCAGCCGCGGUAAUUCCAGCUCCAAUAGCGUAUAUUAAAGUUGUUGCAGUUAAAAAGCUCGUAGUUGAAUUUCGGGGUUAGUAGGUUGGUCAUGCCUCUGGUAUGUACUGGUCUCACUGAUUCCUCCUUCCUUAUGAACCGUAAUGCCAUUAAUUUGGUGUUGCGGGGAAUUUGGACUGUUACUUUGAAAAAAUUAGAGUGUUUAAAGCAAGCUAACGCUUGAAUACAUUAGCAUGGAAUAAUGAAAUAGGACGUUCGAUCUUAUUUUGUUGGUUUCUAGGAUUGACGUAAUGAUUAAUAGGGAUAGUUGGGGGCAUUAGUAUUCAAUUGUCAGAGGUGAAAUUCUUGGAUUUAUUGAAGACUAACUACUGCGAAAGCAUUUGCCAAGGAUGUUUUCAUUAAUCAAGAACGAAAGUUAGGGGAUCGAAGACGAUCAGAUACCGUCGUAGUCUUAACCAUAAACUAUGCCGACUAGGGAUCGGAUGAUGUUAAUUUUUUAAUGACUCAUUCGGCGCCUUACGGGAA
rnacentral:rRNA from 1 species